GUGAAUUCUACAUUUUCGAGGGGAGAUGAUUUCUUCUUGUAAUUAUAUGCCGAUAAUACCUAUGAAUUACUUUAACACAACCAUUCUUCAUUAAGAUCUCCAUACUAGCCCUUGAAGAAGAAGAGAACUGCUCUUCGAAACGUCGGCUUAGUUGGAAUUUCUAA